rnacentral:rRNA from 1 species
UGAGUUUGAUCAUGGCUCAGGAUGAACGCUGGCGGUAUGCUUAACACAUGCAAGUCGAACGGUCACUUCGGUGAUAGUGGCGGACGGGUGAGUAACGCGUGAGAAUCUGUCUUCAGGUCGGGGACAACAGUUAGAAAUGACUGCUAAUACCGGAUGUGCCGAAAGGUGAAAGAUUUAUUGCCUGAAAAAGAGCUCGCGUCAGAUUAGCUAGUAGGUGGUGUAAGAGACUACCUAGGCUCCGAUCUGUAGCUGGUCUGAGAGGACGAUCAGCCACACUGGAACUGAGACACGGUCCAGACUCCUACGGGAGGCAGCAGUGGGGAAUUUUCCGCAAUGGGCGAAAGCCUGACGGAGCAAUACCGCGUGAGGGACGAAGGCUCUUGGGUCGUAAACCUCUUUUCUCAAGGAAGAUGAUGACGGUACUUGAGGAAUAAGCAUCGGCUAACUCUGUGCCAGCAGCCGCGGUAAUACAGAGGAUGCAAGCGUUAUCCGGAAUGAUUGGGCGUAAAGCGUCCGCAGGUGGUUUUAUAAGUCUGCUGUUAAAGCGUGUGGCUCAACCACAUACAGGCAGUGGAAACUAUAAGACUAGAGUAUGUUAGGGGUAGAGGGAAUCCCCAGUGUAGCGGUGAAAUGCGUAGAGAUUGGGAAGAACACCGGUGGCGAAAGCGCUCUGCUAGGACAAUACUGACACUGAGGGACGAAAGCUAGGGGAGCGAAUGGGAUUAGAUACCCCAGUAGUCCUAGCCGUAAACGAUGGAUACUAGGCGUUGCCCGUAUCGACCCGGGCAUUGUCGUAGCUAACGCGUUAAGUAUCCCGCCUGGGGAGUACGCACGCAAGUGUGAAACUCAAAGGAAUUGACGGGGGCCCGCACAAGCGGUGGAGUAUGUGGGUUUAUUCGAUGCAACGCGAGCAACGAGGCGCACCCUUGUUUUUAGUGGCCAGCAGUAAGAUGGGCACUCUAGUGAGACUGCCGGUGACAAACCGANGNAAGUGGGGAUGACGUCAAGUCAGCAUGCCCCUUACGUCCUGGGCUACACACGUACUACAAUGCUACGAACAAAGGGCAGCUAGUUAGCAAUAACAUGCAAAUCUCAGAAAUCGUAGCUCAGUUCAGAUUGAAGGCUGCAACUCGCCUUCAUGAAGUCGGAAUCGCUAGUAAUUGCAGGUCGGCAUACUGCAGUGAAUUCGUUCCCGGGCCUUGUACACACCGCCCGUCACACCAUGGAAGCUGGUCACGCCCGAAGUAGUUAUCCUAACAGUUCGCUGGGGGAGACUCCGAAGGUAGGGCUGGUGACUGGGGUGAAGUCGUAACAAGGUAGC